GGGCUCGUAGCUUAGCCUGGCUAGAGCACUCGACUGAUAAUCGAGAGGUCGCCGGUUCAAAUCCGGUCGGGCCCA
rnacentral:tRNA from 1 species